GGGGGCGUACCUCAGAUGGUAGAGUGCUCGCUUAUCAUGCGAUAGUUACGGGGAUCGAUUCCCCGCGCCUCCA